AUUGAUGUCAUGUGGAUUUAUUGACAAGUGGGCGAAUGUGCCCUUUUUUUAUCUCCUCUGUUUGCGCGAGGAAAGCAGAGAGCUUGAUGAACUGCUGGUGUCUUUGCUCAACGGCAUAACUUGUGGGUGAGAAAUAUGGAUCUUGACAAUGGCAAGUGUCGGAACAACUCAAAGAAGGAGUCUUGGAAGACUAUCCUGCUCUUAGCCUACCAAAGCCUUGGUGUAGUGUACGGGGACUUGAGCAUUUCCCCUUUAUAUGUCUACAAAAGCACGUUUGCAGCAGAUAUUCAACAUUCACAGACCAACGAAGAGAUUUUUGGUGUUCUUUCUUUUGUCUUCUGGACUCUCACUUUAAUCCCUCUGUUCAAGUAUGUCUUUGUAGUCCUUCGAGCAGAUGACAAUGGAGAGGGUGGUACUUUUGCCCUUUAUUCGUUGAUUUGUAGGCAUGCAAAAGUAGGCCUUCUUCCCAACCGACAGGUUGCGGAUGAAGCACUCUCUACUUAUAAAUUGGAACAGCCUCCACAGAAGAAGAACAGUUCAAGGGUGAAACUGUUGCUUGAGAAGUACAAAGCCUUGCACACUGCUCUGCUAAUUUUGGUUCUUCUUGGAACUUGUAUGGUAAUUGGAGAUGGACUCCUCACUCCGGCCAUUUCAGUGUUCUCUGCAGUGUCUGGUCUCGAGUUAUCAAUGUCCAAGGAGCACCACCAGUAUGCAGUCAUUCCGAUUACUUGCUUCAUACUUGUAUGUCUAUUUGCACUUCAACACUAUGGAACACAUCGGCUUGGGUCUUUCUUUGCUCCAGUCGUGUUGAUGUGGCUUCUAUGCAUCAGUGCCCUCGGUUUAUUCAACAUCAUCUACUGGAAUCCACAAGUCUAUAAAGCUCUUUCUCCAUAUUACAUGUUCAAAUUCUUGAAGAAGACAAAGAUAAGUGGAUGGAUGUCUUUGGGUGGAAUACUCUUAUGCAUAACAGGCUCAGAGGCAAUGUUUGCUGAUCUUGGCCACUUCUCAUAUGCGGCAAUUCAAAUUGCUUUCACUUUUCUGGUUUAUCCAGCACUCAUAUUGGCAUAUAUGGGACAAGCUGCAUACUUGUCACGGCAUCACCAUCCCAGCCAUACAAUCAGCUUUUAUGUCUCAGUACCAGAAUGUGUGAGGUGGCCCGUGCUUGUAAUUGCCAUUCUUGCAUCUGUCGUGGGAAGCCAAGCAAUCAUCAGUGGAACAUUCUCUAUCAUAAACCAGAGCCAAUCACUUGGUUGCUUCCCAAGAGUCAAGGUUGUUCACACCUCAGAUAAGAUACAUGGCCAGAUUUACAUCCCUGAGAUCAAUUGGAUGCUCAUGAUCCUCUGCAUUGCUGUGACCAUUGGGUUCAGAGACACAAAGCACAUGGGGAAUGCAUCUGGGUUAGCAGUGAUGACAGUGAUGCUGGUGACAACAUGCCUCACUUCCUUGGUUAUUAUCCUUUGUUGGCACAAGCCCCCUAUCAUAGCUAUUACCUUCCUACUCUUCUUUGGCUCUAUUGAAUUACUCUACUUCUCAGCUUCGCUCACCAAGUUCAGAGAGGGUGCCUGGCUCCCCAUCCUUCUAGCUCUUUUUCUUAUGACUAUCAUGUUUGUGUGGCAUUAUGCAACCAUAAAAAAAUACGAAUAUGACCUUCACAACAAGGUUUCGUUGGAAUGGCUGCUAGCCUUAGGUCCAAGCUUGGGCAUUGCUCGGGUUCCUGGUAUUGGGCUAGUUUUCACCGAUCUCACCUCUGGCAUUCCAGCUAACUUCUCCCGCUUUGUCACUAACCUCCCUGCCUUCCAUCGCAUCCUUGUCUUUGUAUGCGUAAAAUCGGUACCUGUCCCUUAUGUUCCCCCUGCUGAACGAUAUCUUGUGGGCCGUGUGGGUCCUCCAGCUCAUCGGUCAUAUAGAUGUAUUGUCCGGUAUGGAUAUCGUGAUGUUCAUCAAGAUGUCGAUUCAUUUGAGUCUGAGCUGGUUGAUAGAUUAGCUGAUUUUAUCCGCUAUGAUUGGCAUCGGAAACAAGGGACUAAGUCAUGCGAUGAGGAUGAUGAUGCAUCACGAUCCAAUGAAUCAUCUAGCGAGUGUAGAUUGGCUGUGAUUGGAACAGUGGCUUUCUCGGGUCCGCCUGCUUUUGAGAUUGAGGAAAGCACGCAGCCAACAAGUGUUUCCAUUGAGUUCCCUACUGUAGAAAGUAUGACAGAUGUUAUUGAGAUGGAACCAGUAGGAGUUGCAGAAAGAAGAGUGAGGUUUGCCAUUGAGGAUGACUCCGAAACGGAUGUACAAACUGAUAUGGGUGUGCAACUGCAAGAAGAACUGGAAGAUCUGUAUACAGCUCAACAGUCUGGGACUGCAUUCAUACUGGGUCACUCACAUGUUCGCGCAAAGCAAGGAUCAUCCCUCCUGAAGCGAGUGGCCAUUGGCUUUGGAUACAAUUUCCUGAGGAGGAAUUGCCGGGGCCCAGACGUGGCGCUCAAGGUGCCACCGGUGUCUCUUCUUGAGGUUGGCAUGGUAUAUGUUGUGUAGGGCACAUAUGUAACGUGUUUGUUUUGUUCGGUAACUUAGAUGUAGAGAUCAUCUGAAAGAGGUUUGCCAGAAAGGUGAAUGGUUGUGCUGACUAAUUGGGGACGUCUACAGAACACUAUUAUAUUAUAUUGAGUAACUCUUGUUGGCAUAUUAAAUUUAAAUAGUUAAAAUUGAUAUCUCCUCAAGACUAGUUUUGAAACAAGUGGGUAUUUAACACGAUAUGUGAUCCACUAGCCAUCGAACUUUGGAUUCUCUCCGGAUGGCAAAACCAAAACAAAAUGCUCCUCACAACUUCAAGAGCCUGUUAAAGAGCCACGUAGUUCCCUGUUAACCACCAUACUUUCUGUGGGCGCAGGGCGGGCCAUGCUAAAUACAAAUCCACGUGGCUGUAAUGUUAUGGUCCAGAGUAGCAAAACGUUUGUUCUCUAGUAUCUAGAUAAAGGAGCAAGAGUAUCUUAUAAAAUAGCUGCGCCAAGACGUACAUAGUUAUAAGAUCUGCUGUGUUAUGUUAAGGGAAGCGAAGAUGGGAAUAAGAGCUCUUCCCUUGACACCUCCAAAUGGCAAAUUCCCUUCGAAGUUUGGAGUUGCACAAGACUGCUACUUGUCUCGGUCUAACCAUAACAUGAAUAGGUUCAACAACAGGGCCUUUAAGUUUGCAGUUUCAGCCAAAUCAGAGAAGGGUGAAAAGGACGAACCCAAGAACAGCAACCAAUCUUUGUUUAGCAACAUAACGGAAGCCCUGGAUUUUUCUCAAGUUAGAUCCUCGGAGGAUGCAGAGCUUCUGGCCGAGGCCAGAGAAGCCACCAAGUCUGGAGGAAAAAUGUCCAGGGAACAGUAUGGGGCCCUCAGAAGGAAAAUUGGAGGAACGUACAAGGAUUUUUUCAAGUCCUAUAUCGAGGUGGACGGGCAAUAUGUUGAGGAUGGCUGGGUUGAUAAAACCUGCAAGGUUUGCAAAAAAGAUACCAGGGGUGAGUCCAGGCAAGUGGACAAGUUGGGAAGAUACGUUCAUGUGGCAUGUUUGGAGAGGUCCAAAUCAUCCGGAAACUUUUUUACCAGACUUUUCUCAUGAUGAAGGGGAAAAUUGUUAUCUUCGAAUUUGGCUUCUUUUUUUUUAUAUAAUUUAUGUAAUUAAGUUAGCAUGUCAUAAAAGUAUUAUACAAUAAAUAAAAUAUUUUUAAAAGAGUUUCAAUUUUAA